rnacentral:lncRNA from 1 species
GUGCUGUUUUUUAUUACCCAAAGCUUCGAUACACUUAACAAUCGAGAAAUAAAAUCCAAUGUUGAUACAACCACACUAUAGCAUUCUAUAUAUAUACAUAUAUAAUAGAGUGAGUGGCAGAUAGAGUUCUAGGCUUUUAGCCAGUUCAAGGGAAGCUUCACUCUCCUUUACGUCACGAGCGGGACGAGAUAUAUCCCCAUCAAAGCAAUUUUUUGGCUUGAAAGAGCUUUGAUCGAUAUUGAUUGUAAACCCGUUAGAGCGUCAUUUUUUUUCUUGAACAUUAAUACGUAAAUCUUAAAUACAGAUUAAAAACUAGAGUAGGAAUAUUCUGGCAAGAUUUACAAAACAAAUUACAAUUCCAUAAAAGUCUUAUUGCCAAAUAACUAUUAUACAGGCAUCACAGUUAAAUCAAUUGAGCUCAAAUUGUACGUAGGUUAGCGCAAUGUUCCAGCAAUGGAAGAACUCAAGUAGGAAGUGCCCCCAGGGCACAUCUCCAAGUGGUGAAAGGGGAGGGUGGAGAAAUCCAGCUUUGCUUGAGGCUGUUGCGUCAAGGGUUCGAAUCCUGAAAUAUGGAUUUGGCUCUUGGAUAAGUGCAAGUGUACAAGCAGCCUUCCACCCUGUACCGUUGGAGGCAUAACCUGCGAUUUACCUCCCUCACGAUGCUCCAGGGCAAGGGUGGUGAGAGACCUUUAAGGUUAAACCCAAGAACUCAAGUAGGAAGUUAUCACUACGUGAUAAUUGUAGCCAAGAGUUGUUAGUCUCUUAGAGUAGUUCACUGACGAAGAUAGCUCUAUGGUUGAAUCCAUUCCAAAAUUAUACAUUUAUUGUAGGCAAAAUCUCCUUUCUUUUUUUUCCUUUUUUUUUUNNNNNNNNNNNNNNNNNNNNNNNNNNNNNNNNNNNNNNNNNNNNNNNNNNNNNCAAUAUUAAUUUCUUUUCUGAAAUAAUUAUAGUCUUUAAGUCAUGAAACUUACCAAUUUUGGUAUUUUCUUUACUUUUCCUGGACAGUGCCUCCCUCCCUCUCCGGUUCUGCAUCAAUUUGUACUAGGUCUAUUGACUCUAUUCUUCCUUGUUCCUUCAUAAGAAACCCUUCCCAAUAAAAUAAAGGCACCCUGAACAAAAUCAAUGUUGUAUCUACCCUAUUUUUCUCUGUCACUUCCCCCAGUCACAAGUUAAAGGGAAAAAAAAAAAAAAAAGGAAGAAAGAAAACUAGGACACCGUGGAUAAAUUUAUAACCACACACAACAAUAAAAUCUCAUCCAUUACAAUUUUUCCAGCCAAGCCACAUUUUUGUAGGCCUUAUAUAUUGCCCCAAUUCAAUCUCUCAGCCCCCAAUGAUAUCAACCCAAUUGUCACUCAACCAAUUGAUGCCACCCAUCAGUGAGUGCACCAUGUACCAUCGGGGAGAAUUGCCCUCGUAAUCAUGCUCCUCCUCAGAACUAUAUUGCCAACUCCACAAAUUCACCAUCAAUUCUACACAAUCCAUUCAUUUCUAUUGGUUUGUUCACUUUUAAUAAUUUGGUAGAGUAUACUUCGAAAUUGUUCGUGGUCUAUAUCAGUCUAUUGAUCGUAUGUCGCCUACUAAAAGUUAUUGUGUUGCCUCAGAGAGAGAGAGCGAGAGAGAGAAUAAAUAAAUAAAUAAAACUGCAAUAAGCAGCAAGAUAUAAUGCUGUUGUUGAAGUGCAUUGUAAGCACAAGGAAUUUAAAAAGGAUGAAAUUUAUAUGGAACAUGCCAUUUGAAAAUCUUAUGCUCAACCAAUGAAAGCUUGGGUUUAAUGCUUAUUUGUUUUGACCUGUCAUCAAACUAAAAACCUAAGUCUCAUUUUCAAUGGCGCAGACUUAUUUUUUCACCACCGGGCACUUUUGAGCAUGUUGCCUUUGUCUUUUCAGUGAGACAAUCAUAUGCUCCCAUUCUUUGUGCUCCUCCUACUUACUUGGAGCCAAAUUAUGUCAACAGGCUUAUUAUGAUGCUUCAUCAUCUAUCAACCAUUGACGUCUUAUUAAUGGUAUUCCUAAUGCUGGAAAUUGAGUUUCUAGGUGCAUUCUAGAAGAACAAGUUUAUUUUUGGAGUAAUUUAGAAAGUAGAAAUGAAUUUCUUUUCUAGUUAUAAUUAUAAUAAUCUUCAAGUUAUAAACGAUUACUUAAUUACAGUAUUGAUUUUGGAAUCUGUAUAUUUUGUGGUAAUUGCGUUGAGUAUUUCUCCAACAAAUUGUUUAUCAAUGACCCAAGAAUAUGAACUUUCUACUUAUAAUCGUCACAAAUUGAAUUAAUUUAUUAAUUUCUUCAGAAGUAAUUCGCGAGAUCAUGCACCUCUCUUUCCUAGUUAUGAAGGAAAAAGGUCCAACUGGUUGGAUAGCAAUGAUUCGAAACACUUCUUUUUACACUAUUUCAGAAAUUCAAGGACUCAAUCGUAUAAAUAUGUAAAAUACAAGACUUCCAAUCCUAGCAGGAAAGGGAGGAAUCCGAUCCCCCCCAAAAUUCUUAUUCUCCCAUCUACACAUUUUUGUAUCUAUGUAGAUUAGAUAUCUAGUGUCAAUCCAAGACAAUUUGAAAUAUUAUUUCACUAUCAAAAAUUUGGGGCAUGAAGUGCAAUUAAAUCCAUUGUUUGGCCGAUUUAUAUUACUAUUAUCAAUUAGAAUAAUUUAUGGUUGGUAUGGUUUGACUAAAAAACGAAGUAUCCAGGCUCCAUUUAGAAAAAAACCCAAAAAUACAAAUCCAAAAUAUGAAUUCUAAUGUCUACCUAAUCGUAUUAAAAUGAAAAGAUCAAUCAAUUAAUCAUAUUUAAAACUCCAGAUAAAAGAUAAAUUAUAUUAAACACAAAUAAUACUAUCUAUAAGGAAAUUCAACAAUAGAUAUAAUAAAUGACUGUUCAGAAACCACUGGAAAAACUACCAAAAGUGAAACAUUAAUAUUUAAGGGGAAAAAAAAGUCAAUCAAAUUCAAAACAUAAACAAACUAGUACAGAUGCAAUUACAGUUUCCCUUCACUGUCACUACCAUUCAUAUACAGAACAAAACACUGAUUAACAAGUGCUGAUCUUCAUCUCUUUCCACUAUGUAAUACACUAGUCAUUUUUCAUUAUAAUCUUCCCCGAUUCAUGUGUAUGUGCAAAUUACAGGUUUACCAUUGAAAAUGCUAAGUAAAAAAAUAUAAAUAAAAAAAACUAAUCAAUCUUACCUUUCAGAUGUGAUGAAAUUCUUUAGUUAUUCUUCCACCUUGGGCUUGGAACCGGCGGUGUUGGCGAUAAAGGAAGAUGUGGAAACCCCAAUUG